rnacentral:rRNA from 1 species
GGGGAAUAUUGCACAAUGGGCGAAAGCCUGAUGCAGCAACGCCGCGUGAGUGAUGAAGGUCUUCGGAUUGUAAAGCUCUGUCUUUUGGGGCGAUAAUGACGGUACCAAAGGAGGAAGCCACGGCUAACUACGUGCCAGCAGCCGCGGUAAUACGUAGGUGGCGAGCGUUGUCCGGAUUUACUGGGCGUAAAGGGUGCGUAGGCGGAUGUUUAAGUGAGAUGUGAAAUACCCGGGCUUAACUUGGGUGCUGCAUUUCAAACUGGAUAUCUAGAGUGCAGGAGAGGAGAAUGGAAUUCCUAGUGUAGCGGUGAAAUGCGUAGAGAUUAGGAAGAACACCAGUGGCGAAGGCGAUUCUCUGGACUGUAACUGACGCUGAGGCACGAAAGCGUGGGUAGCAAACAGGAUUAGAUACCCUGGUAGUCCACGCCGUAAACGAUGAGUACUAGGUGUAGGAGGUAUCGACCCCUUCUGUGCCGCAGU